rnacentral:rRNA from 1 species
UACAGAGGAGCCAAGCGUUGUCCGGAUUGACUGGGCGUAAAGCGCACGCAGGCGGUCGCGCGCGUGGGGUGUGAAAUCUGGCCGCUUAACGGCCAGGCGCCAUCCCAUACGGCACGACUGGAGUGAUGCAGAGGUCGGUGGAAUUGCCGGUGUAGUGGUGAAAUGCGUAGAGAUGUGGAGGAACACCGAUGGCGAAGGCAGCCUCCUGGGCCAGCACUGACGCUCAUGCACGAAAGCGUGGGGAGCAAACAGG